rnacentral:rRNA from 1 species
GACAGAGGGUGCAAACGUUGCUCGGAAUUACUGGGCGUAAAGCGCGUGUAGGUGGAUUGGUGUGUCAGAUGUGAAAUCCCUGGGCUCAACCCAGGAACUGCACCUGAAACUACCAGUCUUGAGUGGUGGAGAGGGAAGUGGAAUUCCUGGUGUAAAGGUGAAAUUCGUAGAUAUCAGGAGGAACACCAGUGGCGAAGGCGGCUUCCUGGACACCAACUGACGCUGAGACGCGAAAGCGUGGGGAGCAAACAGG